GGAGUUGUAGCUCAGUGGUAGAGCGCUUGCCUAGCAUGUACGAGGAACUGGGUUCCAUCCUCAGCACCA
rnacentral:tRNA from 1 species